UGGGGAAUUUUGCACAAUGGGGGAAACCCUGAUGCAGCGACGCCGCGUGAUUUAGAAGGCCUUCGGGUUGUAAAAAUCUUUUCUAGGGGAAGAAAAUGACAGUACCAUAGGAAUAAGGACCGGCUAACUACGUGCCAGCAGCCGCGGUAAUACGUAAGGUCCGAGCGUUGUCCGGAAUCAUUGGGCGUAAAGGGUACGUAGGCGGGUAAGCAAGUUAGAAGUGAAAUCCUAUAGCUCAACUAUAGUAAGCUUUUAAAACUGCUCAUCUUGAGGUAUGGAAGGGAAAGUGGAAUUCCUAGUGUAGCGGUGAAAUGCGCAGAUAUUAGGAGGAAUACCGGUGGCGAAGGCGACUUUCUGGCCAUAACCUGACGCUGAGGUACGAAAGCGUGGGUAGCAAACAGG
rnacentral:rRNA from 1 species